rnacentral:rRNA from 1 species
AAAGGCGCGCGAUACAGGGUGACAGCCCCGUACACAAAAGCGCAUGUGUUGUGAGCUCGAUGAGUAGGGCGGGACACGUGGUAUCCUGUCUGAAUAUGGGGGGACCAUCCUCCAAGGCUAAAUACUCCUGACUGACCGAUAGUGAACCAGUACCGUGAGGGAAAGGCGAAAAGAACCCCGGCGAGGGGAGUGAAAAAGAACCUGAAACCGUGUACGUACAAGCAGUGGGAGCACAGGUUUACCUGUGUGACUGCGUACCUUUUGUAUAAUGGGUCAGCGACUUAUAUUCUGUAGCAAGGUUAACCGUAUAGGGGAGCCGGAGGGAAACCGAGUCUUAAUUGGGCGUUAAGUUGCAGGGUAUAGACCCGAAACCCGGUGAUCUAGCCAUGGGCAGGUUGAAGGUUGGGUAACACUAACUGGAGGACCGAACCGACUAAUGUUGAAAAAUUAGCGGAUGACCUGUGGCUGGGGGUGAAAGGCCAAUCAAACCGGGAGAUAGCUGGUUCUCCCCGAAAGCUAUUUAGGUAGCGCCUCGUGAAUUCAUCUCCGGGGGUAGAGCACUGUUUCGGCUAGGGGGCCAUCCCGGCUUACCAACCCGAUGCAAACUGCGAAUACCGGAGAAUGUUAUCACGGGAGACACACGGCGGGUGCUAACGUCCGUCGUGAAGAGGGAAACAACCCAGACCGCCAGCUAAGGUCCCAAAGUCAUGGUUAAGUGGGAAACGAUGUGGGAAGGCCCAGACAGCCAGGAUGUUGGCUUAGAAGCAGCCAUCAUUUAAAGAAAGCGUAAUAGCUCACUGGUCGAGUCGGCCUGCGCGGAAGAUGUAACGGGGCUAAACCAUG